AUUGAACGCUGGCGGCAGGCCUAACACAUGCAAGUCGAACGAGUGGCGGACGGGUGAGUAAUGUCUGGGAAACUGCCUGAUGGAGGGGGAUAACUACUGGAAACGGUAGCUAAUACCGCAUACCAUCAGAUGUGCCCAGAUGGGAUUAGCUAGUUGGUGGGGUGACGGCUCACCAAGGCGACGAUCCCUAGCUGGUCUGAGCGGAUGACCAGCCACCGUGGAACUGAGAAACGGUCCAGAAUCCGAGGGGAUGCAGCAGUGGGGAAUAUUGCACAAUGGGCGCAAGACUGAUGCAGCCAUGCCGCGUGUAUGAAGAAGGCCUUCGGGUUGUAAAGUACUUUCAGCGGGUGGGCGUUACCCGCAGAAGAAGCACCGGCUAACUCCGUGCCAGCAGCCGCGGUAAUAC
rnacentral:rRNA from 1 species